CUGGGGUGAAGUCGUAACAAGGUAGUCGUAUCGGAAGGUGCGGCUGGAUCACCUCCUUUCUAAGGAGAAUU
rnacentral:rRNA from 1 species